rnacentral:lncRNA from 1 species
AGUGUUAGAUGUUGUUUUUAGAGGUGGUGGUGGAAUCCUUAAAGACAUGGAUUACGUCUGUUUCUUCCUGUGGCUUCCAGGCACCUGAAUCCUGGAACUGCUUUAUUAUGACGACUUUAGUCCUUGACGUUGCCUGGAUUGGAGGGUUUCACAUAAUUCAGGCCGGCCUUGAACUAGGAACAGCAAACGAUGACCUUGAGCGUCUGAGCCUCGUCUCUACCACCUGAUUGCUACAAUUAUAG